GAAACACUACUGCAGCAAGAUGUCACAGCAGCCGGACUGAUCAGCGCCGGCCCCAGCGAGAUGCCGGCCACCAGCGCCCGGCAGCAGCAGCGAGAUGGCCAGCACAACUGAAACACUACUGCAGCAAGAUGUCACAGCAGCCGGACUGAUCAGCGCCGGCCCCAGCGAGAUGCCGGCCACCAGCGCGGCCCCCAGCAGCAGUGAGACCCAAUCGAAGUGACACUUGCAUUUUUAGGAGCCAUGCAAGAGACUCGUGCAUCUAAAUUGUUUCUGCAUCUACCUGUACUUGUCUCUGCUCUUAAUAAAACAUUGACUUGA